UACGUAGGGAGCGAGCGUUGUCCGGAUUUAUUGGGCGUAAAGGGCGCGUAGGCGGUUAGGUAAGUCGGGUGUUAAAUCUCCAAGCUCAACUUGGAGCCGCCACUCGAAACUGCUUUGACUAGAGUCUGGUAGGGGAACACGGAAUACCUGGUGUAGCGGUGAAAUGCUUAGAUAUCAGGUGGAACACCAGUGGCGAAGGCGGUGUUCUGGGCCAGUACUGACGCUGAUGCGCGAAAGCGUGGGGAGCAAA
rnacentral:rRNA from 1 species